ensembl:lncRNA uncharacterized LOC115009847
CUAAUAUCUCACUGUGCCCCGCUGUGAGAAACCGAGAGUGGGAUUUCCUUAAAGGUUUUGUCACGCAUAAUGACAUGCCGACACCCCCCACACAGUCUCUACAUUUGACAUAAACAGAUAUCUGAGUGGUAUACUGAUGUUACAGAGUGUCUCAAUUAUCAAGGGAUGUUAGACCUCUCAACUUCCUUUUAAUGUUCAUUUAUUAUUUAUGGCUUGUUUCUUAAUGUUAGCUAUACACAAACUACUUCUUCCAGCCAUUGUUGGUGCUUUCACUUUCUCUACAGUGUGAGUUGGUGGGUUACAGUGGAGAAUUCUAGGGGGAAAUUCGGCUGUUGGCUGGGGGAGUUUCCAUUGCAGCAGAGGCGGAGUAACACUGACAUGUUUAAUUUGCCAGUGAGGGCUUGUAGUCCUGAGCAGUAGUGUGGUACAAGUAGUGUGUUCUGUUAGCACAGUAGUGUUUGUACAGCUGUUACCAUACUCUUAAGUAGUUCCUGUAGUGUAAAUGUUGUUCUACCUGAACACAGAACUAACUUUAUAGUUUUGUUCCUGAAACAUUUCUGUUCUCUACAACAACACAGGUAAGAAGAGUACUUUGAUUACAAUUCUACAUUCUUGAAGCUAAUUUAUAUGAACUAAAUGACUAGGUUAUUUCCUUCUGUUACUCAACUUCCAUACACUCUGAUUACACCUCUAUUUCCUCUGUUCCUGUCUGUUUUCCCUGCCUCUCUCUCAGUGGUGUAGAAAUAUGAAGUUGCUGGAGCUGGGGGACUCAAUCAGUCGCUUCAGGUUCGCUCAGUCCUGUGUGGGGCUGGCAGGUUGCCUGUGUGUGUGCUACGCAGUCUGCACACCAUUCUGGAUGAAGGAUAGGGGACUCUGGACUCAGUGUAAUAACACUAAAAGUGACCAGACAAAUCGUAAAGGUGGCAAUGACUUCAACGCCCUGGAAGCAGAGAGAGUAUUUGGAGUUGUUUCCUUCCUCAUGGCUGUGAGCACUGGUGGUCUGUGUGUGGUGUUUGCCCUCUGCUGGACAUCUGAGACAGUGCGCUCCUACUCCAACACUCGCUCUCUCCUCAUGGCAGGACAGGCCCUCUACCCCAGCACUCUGCUGCUGUUCACCAUGGCCUCUACAGGUUUCUUCUUCCUCCUCAGCUGGUCUUUUUUCACCUAUCAGCACAGGGAAGAAAUCCGUCAAGACUUUUCCACCCUCGGCUCCUCCUAUUGGCUAGGGGCUUUAGGUUGGGUCCUGCUGUUGGUCGUGGAGAUGAUAGUCUUUAUAGCUGAGCAAGCUGUUGUGCCCGACAUCCUACCAGACUUAGAGAAGGCUGUGGAGUCGUGGCGGAUUUCCUCUCAACUUAAGCACACUAAAUGCUCGUUCAGCGAUGGUUUUUACCCUGGUGCCUAAUGGCCUUGUGUGGAGUCCAGAAAUGAGGACAUGACAGAGCAAAUGAAUGUUAAUGUGUAAGUUGCACAUUAACCCACUCAGACUGAACGAGAAACCAGCAAUUCCUCGCUGCUUUGUAGAUCUAUACAACCAGACUGGAUAUUGAUUAACUGUGUUGGGAGUUAAAUGUUUGCCAGAGGAAUUAAGACUGAAUCCUGAAAGUCAGUGGGACUGAAGGCUUCAGCUUCCUGAAGAGCUGAUCGUGGUGGUUAUUCUCCACUUUGUUUUCAGUAUUGACUGAAAGGAAAUAAAAACAAUCAACAAUACUGAAAGUAGGCACCAAAUGUAAGAUGACAACUGUUCUCUGACAAAGUAUGCAUGUGUACACUGGUGUUUGCGAAGUUUUACAUUUCAUAAAGCGUUGUCCAGGUUUGACGAGGAACAGAUCCAGCUGUGGGGGUUUCAGUUGGCUUUAUGUCAACAAAACACUCCCUAAACAUCCAACUAGUACCGGUAACUGAAUAUUUCAGCGGGAGCUGCUAUGUAGUUGAUGAAUGUUAAAAACAGAGCCACCUUGUGGUUCCCAUGUGACACUUUUGACAGUCCUCAGCAAAAGAAAAAUAGAUUAUUUGUGUACAGGGACAUCAUAACAUUAUAUAUAUAUAUAUAUAUAUAUGGCAAAUACUCACAGCAAAUACACAUUGUGUUCCUGUGGUGCUUUCCUAUAAAAGGUAUCAAAGGUGUUUGCUGAUGAUUAGUAAUAAUUAGCACACAUAUCUGUAGUCAUACCCCCUUUCAAUGAUCCCUUAUCUUAUUACCAAUUAAUUGUCGUACGGUAUAUGGUAUGUGCAACAAAGCGUACUUUGACAAUGCUGAUCAUGUGCUGUCCCCACCCUUUCACAGUUCAAUAAAAAGUUUCACAAGUUUACAACCAUAACGUGUGUUUGUAUCAAAGGUGAGGGUGGGAGGGACGAGAGCUCAUAUGUCUGAG